CCCGCACAAGCGGUGGAGUAUGUGGUUUAAUUCGACGCAACGCGAAGAACCUUACCUGGUCUUGACAUCCCGGAGACCCUUAGGAAACUAGGGGGUGCUUCCAUCUGGAAGAAUCUGGAGACAGGUGCUGCAUGGCUGUCGUCAGCUCGUGUCGUGAGAUGUUGGGUUAAGUCCCGCAACGAGCGCAACCCUUGCCUUUAGUUGCCAGCAGUUCGGCUGGGCACUCUAAAGGGACUGCCGGUGUUAAACCGGAGGAAGGUGGGGAUGACGUCAAGUCCUCAUGGCCUUUAUGACCAGGGCUACACACGUACUACAAUGGCCGAUACAAAGGGCAGCGACACUGCGAGGUGAAGCCAAUCCCGUAAAAUCGGUCUCAGUCCGGAUUGGAGUCUGCAACUCGACUCCAUGAAGUUGGAAUCGCUAGUAAUCGUGGAUCAGCAUGCCACGGUGAAUACGUUCCCGGGCCUU
rnacentral:rRNA from 1 species